GCUCAUGUCUAUUACCUGGAUCUCCUUCUGCUUCAUCUUGGUGCUGGUUGUCUCUUUCAUAGGCUAGCAAAUCAAAGGAACUAAAAUCAGCCCAAAAUGAAUCAAACAGGAUUUCCCUUUCAACUCAAAGAAAAGCCACCAGUGGACUUUUCUACAGACUACAAUACCUCCACCUCUGUUAACUCAACAUAAGGCCUAUGUCCUGGCUUUUCUGAAUAAGGUUAUGUUCUCUUCACAGACUGUGUGUCUAGAGAGAUGAUAUGGGUCAGACACUUUUCUUCUAAAAUAAAUAUUUUUCACAGGAGCUGUAAUUUUUCCCCCAUAUGCAAGAAAACAACAACAAUCAAAACUCUCUCAAUAAAAGAAAGCCCAGUUGAUUGGACACUGCUGAAGAAAUCAACUAAUGUUUGAUAAUAUCAGAGGAAGUAGCUGGGCUCCAAAAGAAGAAAUUGAUAGUUUCAGGAAAUGCAAGGAAGAACUGCCCCAUCUGUGGAGCUCAGAAACAAAUAUAGCCCAUCACAUGUUUUCUGAUGUCAUCACAGUAAUGAUGAUGACCGCCACAGCCCAGAAACAGCACACAUUCAUACUCAGACAUUUACUUGCUGCUUUUUGAAAAAAUAUUUAGAUAAAGAGAAUUGUAUGAGCACAAAAAGAGAAGAACAAAUCACUUUUUAAAACAAGUAAGAUAGAAGAGGAAAGUUUAAGUAUAUGGAGUGUACUAAGCCUAGAGAAAAUGAUGAUACGGGGUAACUUACCAUCAGCCUUCAAGUGCACAAAGGGGUUUACUACAUAGAGAAGAGGACAAGCCAUUCUCUAGUCUUACUGAUAUGAGAACAAAAAAGCUUAAAGUGCCACAUGGCGGACAUAAGGAAAACAAUUUCUUGACUGUAAGAGCUGUAAGAUAUCACAACGGGCUAUUGAGGGAGGUUGUAUGUAAUCACUUUCUUUCUGACUUUUUAGAAAAAGAUACACAUCUAAGUGUUAGUGGUGCCAGAGAGACAGUAAGUUACAUUCUGGUUCUAUUAUAACAGUAAGCAAUAUUUGAUAAAUUACAUAUUAAGUGCUUAUCAUAAAUGAAAGCUACUAUUGACUUAAUUUGAAAACAUUUUAAGGCAAUGAUGUGAGGACUUCCAAGGUAAGGAGAAAAUGCAGAUGUUUCCC
rnacentral:lncRNA from 1 species